rnacentral:rRNA from 1 species
CCUACGGGGGGCAGCAGUGGGGAAUAUUGGGCAAUGGGCGCAAGCCUGACCCAGCAACGCCGCGUGAAGGAAGAAGGCUUUCGGGUUGUAAACUUCUGUUGAGAGGGAAGAGCAGAAGACGGUACCUCUUGAAUAAGCUACGGCUAACUACGUGCCAGAAGCCGCGGUAAUACGGAGGUGGCCAGCGGUGUCCGGAUUUACUGGGUGUAAAGGGCGUGUAGCCGGGCUGACAAGUCCGAUGUGAAAUGGCGGGGCUCAACCCCGGACCUGCAUUUGAAACUGUUGGUCUUGAGUAUCGGAGAGGCAGGCGGAAUUCCUAGUGUAGCGGUGAAAUGCGUAGAUAUUAGGAGGAACACCAGUGGCGAAGGCGGCCUGCUGGACGACAACUGACGGUGAGGCGCGAAAGCGUGGGGAGCAAACAGGAUUAGAUACCCGAGUAGUC